rnacentral:tRNA from 1 species
AGGUAAUUAGUUUAAGAUAAAACACUUGAUUUCGGCUUAAGAACUUGUGGUUCGAGUCCACAAUAACCUG